UUCUACUUUUCCUUUAAGGAGUCCACUUUAUUUUGAAACAUCCGUGCUCUUAUUGUGACGACGCCAACCGGACGUGGUGAGCUCCUUCACGGCAGCUUGACGCACGCGCAUUGAGUCGAGGAAGCGAAGUGAUCCGCGCGGUUCCGAGGCUGCGGUUCGACACCAGGCUCGACCCGGUGUCUCUACACGGAGCUCGACCUUUAUCCGAGGAUGGAAGAGCACCCGAAGAAGUCUCUCACAGCCUGACAAGUCGGCGGGACGCAGAAAACGCCAAGAAGUGCGGGGACAUAAUGUGUUAGCGCCCGUUAGGAGCGGGGCUGGUUACGGAUGGUACGGUGUGUCCGGGCAGGUAAACGUUAGCUUGACUAGCCGCUCAGCUAGUAGCAGCAGGAGGCUAGGAGGCUAACAGCCGCUGACCAACUAACUAGUUGGGCUGGAUGAACUGUGGCCAGAGUCGGUACCGAACCCACCGAGCAUGGGUCGUUUGUGUCCCACAAACCAUCCUCUGUCCCUGUGAACUGUCACUAUCCGCCCUUUUCAUUGUCUUCAAGGAGAAACUAGCGGCAGAGGUGCUCCAGCGCUGAUUGACAGCUCGUCACACCGGGGUUCCCAGAUGUGGAGGCGGCGUGAGAGGCGCAGCUAGGCUCCGGGGCAGCUAGCUGCAGGACGGGCUGCUCACCAGGAAUGGAUGACACCAACAAACUUUUCUGCGGACUCUCAACUCAGCACAGGGCUUCAACAAAGCGAUGAGUUUCAUUUUGCCAGUGAGGUGUCACUGUAGUCCACAGCAGACGAGCUGACACGUCGAGUUUGCCCAGUGUUUGUCUAGAGGUCUGAGCCCCGACAGAACCAGCUCCCUCCGGGGUCAGCCCCGCAAACGAGGAGCCUUUUUACACUUACACGAACUAUGAAGAGGACAGAAAACAAAAACAAGAGGAAACUCAACAUGGAACAGCAGGACAGCGUCGGAGAGGACAAAGAUGCGAUGAACACCCCCCCAAAUGUGAUGCAGCACAAGGGUUCAGAGCAGGGCGGAAGAGAAGCCAGAAGACAGGAAGGA
rnacentral:lncRNA from 1 species